UAAAAGAACAGACAAGCUGAAGAAAGCCAGUAGGCAAAGUCUGGGACUGUCUGUUACUGUUGUUAUCUCUAAGCAACCAAAAGCAUCACUUGUAUAGUUCUGUUUGGAAAAAAAUAUGUUCUCUUACACAUGGACUGGUGUCAUUCACAGCACUGUAAAUAAGAGCUAUAUGCAUGAAUGGGUAGGAGUCUCUCUCCACAUCGCUAAAUGAAAAUCCACUGCAGGAAAAUGCUAAAUAAAAUCUAAUGUCAUGUACUUCUACUUUCAGUGCCUGCUUCCAUUGUACACAGUAUAGAAAAAGCAUGUGACAGAGCUAAGUAACAUGCUUUGCUUUCAUCCUAUUUUAAAUUUGAUUACUCCAGCUUUUAUAUUGCUGACGCAUAGCAGGCACCUGAUUUAUAAUAUGAUAUUAAAAGGGAAAUUACUCCUACAAGUAGUCUUAAGUAGCACUUACUUCUAGCCUCUGCUUCUUCCAGACAGGAGCCUCCUGACAGACCUCGGAUUACAAGAUGGAUUUGCCUAAAAUAACCUCUGAUUUAAUAAAUCAGCAAGAAGAAUAAUCAGCAGCAAAAUUAGGACAUUAGGACACUGUACUUUGGACCAGGCUGUCCAAUACCUGGCUAGAUUCACUGCUGCCAAUGGGUACAUGAGGUUCCUUUGUCUAAGGAUCUGGUCGAAUAUUUCUUGAUAUUAAUCUGUGCAAUUUUUGGCAAGGGGAGAGCACAGGAACAGACUGCAGCUUUAUUCUCGUUACUCAAAGGCAGGGCUGUACAAGAAUCCUCCCAGCUCUUAGUAGAAGACAGAUUUGCUUUCCUUGGUGCCCAAAGGGCACAGAAGAGUUGCAUUAUUCAGUGUUCAGAAUGUUCCCAAAAAACCCUAAAAUGCCCACUAGUGUUCAGCCAGGCUGUAAGGCUGUUUGUAUCCAAGCUCUCAUAAAGUAUCCUCUGGAGACCACUUUUGCCUUCUUUAGAGCCCUUUUAUACCUUAAGGAUGGCAAAGACAAGCACUAUUAUGACAGAUUAUCUGUUCUUUGUCAGUCUAGGCUGAGGUCCUUUGGAAGUGACCCGAACAGAAGAGCACUGGGCCACUGUGUUUUCUGGAGUCUGGUCGGUUCCAGCAUCCUGCAAAAUCAGUGGAAGUCCUUCCUUUGAUUUCAGUGGGAGCUGGAUGAAAUCUGUAAUUUAAAAAUUACUAAAGCAGCUGGAAUUUGAGACAAGCCCUCGGAUUGAAAUCUACAGAUGUCUGAGAUAACUUACAAUUACUGUAUCUGAGGAAGAGUAACGUGGGACUUUAUUGCACAGCAUUUUCCCUAGGUACUUACAGUGAAUUAUUGAAAUAAGACAUAUGGUUUUGAACAGUGUUACAUUCAGCAUUGCAUAUUCUGAACAUUUCUGGGUUUCAAAUAAAACAG
rnacentral:lncRNA from 1 species